UGACCUGAUCUCAGUUUUUUAAUCCCCUCUCUCUGUAAGGCUUUCUGAUACCAGCUCUUGCACUGAGCCUUCUUGUGAGGGUCUGACAGUCUCUCCGCCUGUUCUUUGCUGAACAGAAUUGCUCUGUUACGUGGACGUCUCUCUGCAUCCUGCUUUUCUGGGAGAUUCACAAAGCAAAGCAGCUGCUGACUUGAAGAGGAAACUCUGUAGCUGGUUGAUGUUUGUUSCUUCUCCUCUCUCUUGUAUGGGAAAUCUUCUAGGAUGAUUUUUUUUCUGCUGCGAUCUUGCCGGUGUCUGUAAAAGGAAACUAGGAGGGAAGCUGCCUUACCCAAAGAGCUGCAACAGGUCGAGCACACAGCCAGGAUUUCCAGUCCACUGAACCACGCUGCAUAGCAGGGCUCCRCUAUGAGCAUGUUGCAUAAAGUGGCACAGAUAAUAGCUGCAGUUUACAGAAGAAAGCAAUUAUAUUGUAAACAAGUAUUUUGGGGAGGA
rnacentral:lncRNA from 1 species